CGGGUGAGUAACGCGUGGGAAUCUACCCAUCUCUACGGAACAACUCCGGGAAACUGGAGCUAAUACCGUAUACGUCCUUCGGGAGAAAGAUUUAUCGGAGAUGGAUGAGCCCGCGUUGGAUUAGCUAGUUGGUGGGGUAAUGGCCUACCAAGGCGACGAUCCAUAGCUGGUCUGAGAGGAUGAUCAGCCACACUGGGACUGAGACACGGCCCAGACUCCUACGGGAGGCAGCAGUGGGGAAUAUUGGACAAUGGGCGAAAGCCUGAUCCAGCCAUGCCGCGUGAGUGAUGAAGGCCCUAGGGUUGUAAAGCUCUUUCAACGGUGAAGAUAAUGACGGUAACCGUAGAAGAAGCCCCGGCUAACUUCGUGCCAGCAGCCGCGGUAAUACGAAGGGGGCUAGCGUUGUUCGGAAUUACUGGGCGUAAAGCGCACGUAGGCGGAUACUUAAGUCAGGGGUGAAAUCCCGGGGCUCAACCCCGGAACUGCCUUUGAUACUGGGUAUCUGGAGUCCGGAAGAGGUGAGUGGAAUUCCGAGUGUAGAGGUGAAAUUCGUAGAUAUUCGGAGGAACACCAGUGGCGAAGGCGGCUCACUGGUCCGGUACUGACGCUGAGGUGCCAAAGCGUGGGGAGCAAACAGCAUUAGAUACCAUGGU
rnacentral:rRNA from 1 species